ACUGGAAGGUUGGCAUCUUCUGUAAUCACGCUUCUGUGAGGUCGGGUUGUGUGAAUGGUCUGAGGCUGGGGUUCCUGUGUGGUGGAGUUCCCCGUGUUGACGGAACGUCCGCACUAAGCUUGCCGUCAAUAUGGGUGCCACGGGUGAUCCCGAGGCACUCAGGUUAGCUAAGGAGGGAUGUAACGGGCCAGGGGUGAAAAUCAGCAGCCAAGAGUUCCCGCGGUAAGCAGUAGUGGGAUAGCGUACCGGAGUGGGGUGCCACUGCCAGCCUAGCCAAUACGAUUGGACCACAACCUUU
rnacentral:SRP_RNA from 1 species